rnacentral:tRNA from 1 species
AAGCAGUCGCCGGCGGAACGGAAAUCAUUGAUGUUGAUUAAAACGAAAAAUUUUUCACUGCUUU